rnacentral:rRNA from 1 species
UCCGUAGGGUGCAAGCGUUAUCCGGAAUUACUGGGCGUAAAGCGCACGCAGGCGGUUCGCCAAGUUUGGCGUGACAGUUGUCGGCUCAACCGACAAAGGACUUCAAAAACUGGUGAACUUGAGGACGAGAGAGGAACAUGGAACUCCAGGUGUAGUAGUGAAAUGCGUAGAUAUCUGGAAGAACACCAAUGGCGAAGGCAAUGUUCUGGCUCGUUUCUGACGCUCAGGUGCGAAAGCCAGGGGAGCGAGCGGG